rnacentral:rRNA from 1 species
GGNNCUGGGCGAGCCUGAUCAGCCAUGCCGCGUGUGUGAAGAAGGUCUUCGGAUUGUAAAGCACUUUAAGUUGGGAGGAAGGGCAGUAAGUUAAUACCUUGCUGUUUUGACGUUACCAACAGAAUAAGCACCGGCUAACUUCGUGCCAGCAGCCGCGGUAAAU